AGCGAACGCUGGCGGCAGGCCUAACACAUGCAAGUCGAACGAAGUCUUCGGACUUAGUGGCGGACGGGUGAGUAACACGUGGGAACGUGCCUUUAGGUUCGGAAUAACUCAGGGAACCUUGUGCUAAUACCGAAUGUGCCCUUCGGGGGAAAGAUUUAUCGCCUUUAGAGCGGCCCGCGUCUGAUUAGCUAGUUGGUGAGGUAAAGGCUCACCAAGGCUACGAUCAGUAGCUGUUCUGAGAGGAUGACCAGCCACAUUGGGACUGAGACACGGACCAAACUCCUACGGGAGGCAGCAGUGGGGAAGCUUGCGCAAUGGGCGAAAGCCUGACGCAGCCAUGCCGCGUGGAUGAUGAAGGUCUUAGGAUUGUAAAAUCCUUUCACCGGUGAAGAUAAUGGCUGUAGCCGGAGAAGAAGCCCCGGCUAACUUCGUGCCAGCCGCCGCCGUAAGAC
rnacentral:rRNA from 1 species